rnacentral:tRNA from 1 species
GGGGUUGUGGCUCAGUGGAGGAACUCUCACCUAACAUGUGCGAGGCCCUGGGUUCGAUCCUCAGCACCACA